rnacentral:piRNA from 2 species
UACCUAGUGAGUUUGAGGCCACACUGGG